UGAUUAGGGAUGGGAAUCGAACCCUCAGUGUUCCGCUUACCGGGCAGAUGCCAUGUCCACUAGGCUACCC
rnacentral:tRNA from 1 species